AUACGGAGGGUGCAAGCGUUACUCGGAAUCACUGGGCGUAAAGCGCGCGCAGGCGGUCUUUUAAGUUGGAUGUGAAAGCCUACGGCUCAACCGUAGAACUGCAUCCAAAACUAUUAGAUUAGAGUGUGGGAGAGGAAGAUGGAAUUAGUUGUGUAGGGGUAAAAUCCGUAGAGAUAACUAGGAAUACCAAAAGCGAAGGCAAUCUUCUGGAACACUACUGACGCUGAGGCGCGAAAGCGUGGGGAGCAAACAGGAUUAGAUACCCCAGUAGUCC
rnacentral:rRNA from 1 species